AUUGAACGCUGGCGGCAUGCCUUACACAUGCAAGUCGAACGGCAGCACGGGGCAACCUGGUGGCGAGUGGCGAACGGGUGAGUAAUGCAUCGGAACGUACCUUUCAGUGGGGGAUAACGUAGCGAAAGUUACGCUAAUACCGCAUAUUCUGUGAGCAGGAAAGCAGGGGAUCGCAAGACCUUGCGCUGAUUGAGCGGCCGAUGUCAGAUUAGCUAGUUGGUGAGGUAAAGGCUCACCAAGGCGACGAUCUGUAGCGGGUCUGAGAGGAUGAUCCGCCACACUGGAACUGAGACACGGUCCAGACUCCUACGGGAGGCAGCAGUGGGGAAUUUUGGACAAUGGGGGCAACCCUGAUCCAGCCAUGCCGCGUGAGUGAAGAAGGCCUUCGGGUUGUAAAGCUCUUUCGGCCGGGAAGAAAUCGCACGGGCUAAUACCCUGUGUGGAUGACGGUACCGAGAGAAGAAGCCCCGGCUAACUCCGUGCCAGCCGCCGCGGUAA
rnacentral:rRNA from 1 species